ensembl:misc_RNA 7SK 7SK RNA
GGAUGUGAGGGCGAUCUGGCUGCGACAUCUGUCACCGCAUUGAUCGCCAUGGUUGAUUCCGCUGAUCUGGCUGGCUAGGCAGGUGUCCCCUUCCUCCCUCACCACUCCAUGUGCUUCCCUCCCCAUGCUGCGUGCUCGGUCGAAGAGGACGACCAUCACCCAUAGAGGAGGACCGUUCUUCCAUCAAGGGUAUACGAGUAGCUGCGCUCCCCUGCUAGAACCUCCAAAACAAGCUCUCAAGAUCUUAGCACUAUUGUAAAAAUAGUUUUGACCUCUCAGAUGGCCUUGAAAGGAUCAUGGAAACCAUCAGGGCCUUU